rnacentral:rRNA from 1 species
CAGUCGCCGCGGUAAUACGGAGGGUGCAAGCGUUAUCCGGAUUUAUUGGGUUUAAAGGGUCAGUAGGCGGACUUAUAAGUCAGUGGUGAAAGCCUGUCGCUUAACGAUAGAACUGCCAUUGAUACUGUAAGUCUUGAGUAUAUUUGAGGUAGCUGGAAUAAGUAGUGUAGCGGUGAAAUGCAUAGAUAUUACUUAGAACACCAAUUGCGAAGGCAGGUUACCAAGAUAUAACUGACGCUGAGGGACGAAAGCGUGGGUAGCGAACAGGAUUAGAUACCCCCGUAGUCCCUGUCUCUUAUAC